UACAGAGGGGGCAAGCGUUGUUCGGAAUUACUGGGCGUAAAGGGCGCGUAGGCGGCCCGCUAAGUCGAACGUGAAAUCCCUGGGCUCAACCCAGGAACUGCGUCCGAUACUGGCAGGCUUGAAUCCGGGAGAGGGAUGUGGAAUUCCAGGUGUAGCGGUGAAAUGCGUAGAUAUCUGGAGGAACACCGGUGGCGAAGGCGGUUCUCUGGGCCUUACCUGACGCUGAGGAGCGAAGCGUGGGGAGCGAACAGGAUUAGAUACCCGUU
rnacentral:rRNA from 1 species